GUAAAAAUCAUCUGGAGAUUUUGUUAAAAUGGAGACCUGGUGGACUGGGGUGGGGAUUGUGAUCUGAAUUUCUAGCAAGCUCUCAGAUGUUGCAAAU
rnacentral:pre_miRNA from 1 species